rnacentral:rRNA from 1 species
AUGAACGCUAGCUACAGGCUUAACACAUGCAAGUCGAGGGGCAGCAUGAACUUAGCUUGCUAAGUUUGAUGGCGACCGGCGCACGGGUGAGUAACACGUAUCCAACCUGCCGAUGACUCGGGGAUAGCCUUUCGAAAGAAAGAUUAAUACCCGAUGGCAUAGUUCUUCCGCAUGGUAGAACUAUUAAAGAAUUUCGGUCAUCGAUGGGGAUGCGUUCCAUUAGGUUGUUGGCGGGGUAACGGCCCACCAAGCCUUCGAUGGAUAGGGGUUCUGAGAGGAAGGUCCCCCACAUUGGAACUGAGACACGGUCCAAACUCCUACGGGAGGCAGCAGUGAGGAAUAUUGGUCAAUGGACGAGAGUCUGAACCAGCCAAGUAGCGUGAAGGAUGACUGCCCUAUGGGUUGUAAACUUCUUUUAUACGGGAAUAAAGUGAGGCACGUGUGCCUUUUUGUAUGUACCGUAUGAAUAAGGAUCGGCUAACUCCGUGCCAGCAGCCGCGGUAAUACGGAGGAUCCGAGCGUUAUCCGGAUUUAUUGGGUUUAAAGGGAGCGUAGGCGGACGCUUAAGUCAGUUGUGAAAGUUUGCGGCUCAACCGUAAAAUUGCAGUUGAUACUGGGUGUCUUGAGUACAGUAGAGGCAGGCGGAAUUCGUGGUGUAGCGGUGAAAUGCUUAGAUAUCACGAAGAACUCCGAUUGCGAAGGCAGCUUGCUGGACUGUAACUGACGCUGAUGCUCGAAAGUGUGGGUAUCAAACAGGAUUAGAUACCCUGGUAGUCCACACAGUAAACGAUGAAUACUCGCUGUUUGCGAUAUACAGUAAGCGGCCAAGCGAAAGCGUUAAGUAUUCCACCUGGGGAGUACGGCCGCAAGGUUGAAACUCAAAGGAAUUGACGGGGGCCCGCACAAGCAGUGGAGUAUGUGGUUUAAUUCGACGCAACGCGAAGAACCUUACCAAGACUUGACAUAUACAUGAAAGCCUAAGAGAUUAGGCCCCUCUUCGGAGUGUGUAUACAGGUGAUGCAUGGUUGUCGUCAGCUCGUGUCGUGAGAUGUUGGGUUAAGUCCCGCAACGAGCGCAACCCCUAUCUUCAGUAGCCAGCAGGUUAAGCUGGGCACUCUGGAGAGACUGCCAGGGAUAACCUGGAGGAAGGUGGGGAUGACGUCAAAUCAGCACGGCCCUUACGUCCGGGGCUACACACGUGUUACAAUGGGGGGUACAGAAGGCAGCUACACGGCGACGUGAUGCUAAUCCCUAAAGCCUCUCUCAGUUCGGAUUGGAGUCUGCAACCCGACUCCAUGAAGCUGGAUUCGCUAGUAAUCGCGCAUCAGCCACGGCGCGGUGAAUACGUUCCCGGGCCUUGUACACACCGCCCGUCAAGCCAUGAAAGCCGGGGGUACCUGAAGUGCGUAACCGCAAGGAGCGCCCUAGGGUAAAACUGGUGAUUGGGGCU